AUCUGUUACCAUUAAUUGGACAGUUCGGUCUGUGAAAGGCAACACGCCAGCCGCGACAUCCAGCCCGGUGGUCAGUCCUUUGAAGAUAGACACCAGUUGCUUGGAGCAACUCAGCGGGACAGGCAGCAUCUCUGGAGAGAAGGAACGGGUGGCGUUUCGGGUCGAGAGCCUUCUUCAGACUGAGGUCAAUGGAGAACAGGAGAAUACUGCCCGGGCCCCAGCCAACACGACAAUCGCCCGCUGCACAGUCUGGGAGCUUCCACUGCGAAAACGGUGCCUACAUUUGAACACUCAGAUCACAUCCUGGGCCCAUUCCAACCUCGAACCUGCUCCAACCCUUCAAGAAUGCGAUUCCUUCAGUUCUGGAUGACCUCGUCGGUCCAGCCGAGACACUCGAGUCAAAUUACCUGUGUUCUGCUUACAGUCCAGUGAAUUAACAAGCUCAUCAGGAAGGCUGGCUACAUCCUGGGGGUGGAGUUGAAUUCCACUGGAGGUGGUCUUGGAGGGGAGGAUGCUCCUCAAACUGCAGAGCAUCUUGGACAAUACAGCUCACCCCCUCCGUGACACACUGGUCAACCUGAGGAGCACCUUCAGCAACAGACUGGUUCUACCGAGAUGCAGCACAGAACGCCACAGGAGAUCCUUUUUCCCCUGUGGCUAUCAAACUGUACAACUCCUCCCCGUACUGUUGUGGUAUAGACUGACUGCCCCACCCCCUCCCCCCAAUCUUUGCACUCCACCAAUCCUGGACUUUCCACUCAUCACUUUAAUUUCAUGUUUCAAGCAUCUUGUUGUCUUCUAUGACUGUUGGCAGACCAAUUUCCCUCCUGGGAUGAAUAAACUUUUAUGGUAUCGCGUCCAUGGCCUCAAAGUACUCCAGCAGAUUAAGCAAAUAAUCUCACAACUGCUUGGUUAAUCUGCUCAAUCCUAUUUUUCCUUUCGUGUUAUGCUGUUAUUACAUCCUUCUUUGCAGAUUUCAGCAGGUUUUCCUACCACUAAUGUUGGACUAACAGGUCGAUAGAUACCAUUGUAUUGUCCUUUCUGUAACGCAAGGGCCAUAUUUGUUCAUGUCGAAUCCACAGGAAUAAUUUCAGAAUAUACCACUCUGGUAGAUGAUAACCAUAUCCAGUAACCACUCAAAAGCAACCACUUUCAAAAUAUUUGCGAUGCAAAUCACCUGGUCCGCGAUUUUCAGAUUCCAAUUUUCCAACAUUGAAAUUUCUAUUUCUUGACUAACAUGCAAUUCCCUCAUUCGAGAGAACCUUCCACAAUGGAACAUAGAACAGUGUGGCACAGCACAUGCCCUUCGGCCCAUCAUGAUCUUGCUGAACAUGAUGCCAUGUUAAACAAAUCGCCUGGCCUGCACAUGAUCCAUAUCAAUCCAUUUCUUGUUUUUCUGUGCCUCUCUAUAAUAGCCUUCUAAAUUCCACUAUCCUAUCUACCACUACCCGUGGGAGCGCACCAUUCACCCACUGCAGUGUGGGGGGGAAAAAACACUUGCCCCACACAUCACCUUUAAACUUUAUCUCUCUCACCUUAAAGGUAUGCCCUCUAGCCUGACAUUUCCACCCAGGGGGAGAAAAAAAGGUUAUGACCAUGUACCCUAACAUGCCUCAAUAUUGAUGUUCAGGCAGAUAUAUUGAUGUAAAGCAGGAAAUAGAUCUAGCCCAUUCAUGUCUUCAUUUGUGGACAAGGUCUUAACUCUCUCCACUAGGAGAGAAUGUCAAGAGUGCAGUUGCUCGUACUGACAUCUUUUGUUUCCUAACUGGACCCAGCCAACAAAGGGACACGGUCCAAAAGUAAAUGAAACGUUGGUAAUUCCCAUCCCUUUUCAAUAUACAAGCGAAGAAACUGCAAAUCUGUUGUGGCUGAAGAUAGAUGCAAAAUGCUGGAAUAACUCAACGGGACAGGCAGCAUCUUUCGUGAGAAGGAAUGGGCAACAUUCCAGGUCUCGAACCGAAACAUCACCCAUUCUUUCUCCCCAGAGAUGCUGCCUGCCCCGCCGAGUUCCUCCAGCAUUUUGCGUCUAUCUUCGGUUUAAUUCAGCAUCUGCGGUUCUAUCCUACACAAAUUGGUGUGGCUGAUCUGCAUUUGAAAUAAAAGGAAAUAACAUCACCCAUUUAUAAUCUGUUCACUUGUAUUCUUUUUUCAUUUGAAGUCGCAAUCCAGUGGAGGUAUUUUGCAAAACUGACAGUUAAUUCUGCUGCUGCAGACAGCUGAAGGAAACUAAAAAAACAAAUCAGAGUCUAAACUACAAAGCUUAAGUGUUUUUC